UUGUGGGCAGAUAGGAGACAAGGUGGAUCGCACUAUUGAGUUCGUGACGAUGGCGACCGCCAACAUGAAUUGGGCGAGGGGCUCACACUCGACACCUUCUUGUAAUUAGAGGUCACCGUGCGGUCUCAUUUUCCUGUGACCCACGCCGUUGGACUGCUUCCUAUUCUGCUGAGAUCGAGACCAUUAAUCAGAGUAUUAAACGAAGGCCGGAGAGUCCUAAGAAAUUGUGUGGUCUCCCG
rnacentral:lncRNA from 1 species